GCAUGGUGACAAGGUGGCAGUGAUGGCGGCACGGUGACAGUGAUGGUGACACAGUGAUAGUGAUGGUGACAGGGUGACAGUGAUGGUGGCACAGUGACAGUGAUGGUGACAAGGUCACAGCAAUGGUGACAGCGAUGGUGGCACGGUGACAGUGAUGGUGGCACGAUGACAGCGAUGGUGACAAGGUCACAGCAAUGGUGACAGCGAUGGUGGCACGAUGACAGUGAUGGUGGCACGGUGACAGUGAUGGUGACAAGGUCACAGCAAUGAUGGCAUGGUGACAAGGUGGCAGUGAUGGUGGCACGGUGACAGUGAUGGUGACAGGGUGACAGUGAUGGUGGCACGGUGACAGCAAUGGUGACACAGUGAUAGUGAUGGUGGCACAGUGACAGUGAUGGUGGCACAGUGACAGUGAUGGUGACAAGGUCACAGCAAUGGUGGCAUGGUGACAAGGUGGCAGUGAUGGUGGCACGGUGACAGUGAUGGUGACACGGUGACAGCAAUGGUGGCACGGCGACAGUGAUGGUGACAUGGGGACACUGAUGGUGACACGGUGACAGCGAUGGUGGCACGGUGACAGUGAUGGUGACACGGUGACAGCAAUGGUGGCACGGUGACAGUGAUGGUGACAUGGGGACAGUGAUGGUGACAAGGUGACAGCAAUGGUGGCACGGCGACAGUGAUGGUGACAUGGGGAUACUGAUGGUGGCACGGUGACAGCGAUGGUGACACAGUGACAGCGAUGGUGGCAUGGUGACAGCGAUGGUGAGUGACAGUGAUGGUGGCACAGUGACACUGAUGGUGACGCGGUGACUGAUGGUGACAAGGUGACAGCGAUGGUGGCACGGUGACAGUGAUGGUGGCAUAUGACACUGAUGGUGACAUGGUGACAGUGACGGUGGCACGGUGACAGUGAUGGUGGCAUGGUGACAGCGAUGGUGGCACGGUGACAGUGAUGGUGGCAUGCUGACAGUGAUGGUGACACGGUGACAGCACUGUGGUGACGGUGAUGGUGACACUGCGGUGACAGUGAUGUGGUGACGGUGAUGCGGUGACCUGCGGGGGGUCGGGGACAAGGUGACACGGGCACGGUGACGACGGUGACACGGUGACGAGUUGGUGGUGACACAGCAGGGGUGACAAGGGACACAGAGCCACGGCUCCGUACGCUGGAUACGGGGGACGCUGGGGACGGGGUGAAGUGGUGGCAGGGUGACGCGGUGAGAGGGUGCCAUGGUGACAGGGUGGCACAGUGACAGGGUGACACAGUGAGAGGGUGACACGGUAACAGGGUGGCACGGUGACAGGGUGCCAUGGUGGCAGGGUGGCACAGUGACAGGGUGACACAGAGGGUGACACGGUAACAGGGUGACAGGGUGCCAUGGUGGCAGGGUGGCACAGUGACACGGUGACGGUGCCAUGGUGACAGGGUGCCACGGUGACAGUGACAUAGUGCCAUGGUGCCAGGGUGCCACGGGUACACGGUGACAGUGACAUGGUGCCAUGGUGCCAGGGUGACAGGAUGCCACAUGUACAUGGUGACAGUGACACAGUGACAGGGUGCCACGGGUACAUGGUGACACAGUGACACAGUGCCAUGGUGCCAGGGUGACAGGAUGCCACAUGUACAUGGUGACAGUGACAUGGUGACAGGGUGCCACGGGUACACGGUGAGACGGUGACAGUGACACAGUGACAUGGUGCCAUGGUGACAGGGUGAUGUGGUGACACGGUGACAGAGUGCCACGGUGCCAGGGUGCCACAGGUACACAGUGACACGGUGACAGUGUGACAGGUACAUGGUGCCAGGGUGCCAGAGUGAUGUGGUGACAUGGUGCCAGAGUGACAGGGUGCCACGGGUACACAGUGACACAGUGACAGGGUGACACGGGUACAUGGUGCCAGGGUGACAGGGUGAUGUGGUGCCACGGUGACAUGGUGACAUGGUUACAGUGACAGGGUGAUGUGGUGCCAUGGUGCCAGGGUGCCACAGGUACACGGUGACACAGUGACAGGGUGACAGGGUGAUGUGGUGACACGGUGACAAGGUGCCAUGGGUACAUGGGUACAUGGUGACAGUGACAUGGUGCCAGGGUGCCAUGGGUACACGGUGACAGUGACACAGUGACAGGGUGCCAGGGUGACAGGUGAUGUGGUGCCAUGGUGCCAGGGUGCCACAGGUACACGGUGACAGUGCCAGGGUGCCACGGGUACACGGUGACAGUGCCACGUGUACACGGUGACAGUGCCAGGGUGCCACAGGUACACGGUGACAGUGCCACAGGUACACGGUGACAGUGCCAGGUGCCACGGGUACACGGUGACAGUGCCACAGGUACAUGGUGACAGUGCCAGGGUGCCACGGGUACACGGUGACAGUGACAGGGUGACAGGGUGCCAUGGUGCCAGGGUGCCACGGGUACACGGUGCCAGUCCUUAG